CUGCCUCUCUGGUUCUAAGUUUUGAUAUCAAACUUUCAACAGGUCUCUUGUUUUAAAAGGUCUCAAACAAAUCAGAAGGGUUAUGGAAUAAAUUGCAUCAUGUAUACCAUGAAUAUAUGUUAUUAUAUCCUUAAUAUGUUUCAUUGGAUAUUCUAGGAUAAAUUUCACUGCCCUCAAUCGAGAUACAAUCUUUUCAUAAAAAUAACAAAUAUAAUUAUUUAAGUGCAUGACACGUAACACAGAUGGCAAGUAAUUCUCAUAUUAUUCAUAAAAUUUCAAUGAAACUCUAUCCAGUGUGUGAAACCCUAAACCCUGACUUAUUGAACAAGAAACGAAAAAAAAAACUAAACAGAAAGACAAUAAACUUCUAAAUUCCUCUGCUAUUAUUGAUUCACUUACUUCAUCUCCACCAAUGAAGAUGUAUUGUUCUCUUUCAUAUUCCUCGUACAAGCAAACUCAUCAUAGAUUAUGAGCACGUGCUUUAUAAGACCUUUAAACAUAUAGAGGCUUGGAGCAACACAGAGGCGAGCGACAAUCAACCUCCUCAGCGCGAUUGGUCUCGGCCUUAUCAAUCACGCCAAACAAGUAAUCGAGACGUGUCCUAUCAGCUUUCUCAAUCUCAUCAAGCUUCAAGAGAUUGUUUUGCUUCCCGUGAACAAGAUCUUGAGCUUCUAUAAAUCGGAGCCGUGCAGGAGAAGAAAGAGCUAAGUGACUAGUGAAGAGCAAGAGGACCAUGAUGCAGACAAAGCUGAUUCUACAAGUAUUCGCCAUUGUCGAAGAGAAAGUUGAUCAGGGCUUUAAGGUUUUCUUGUUGUUGAUGUUCGAAAAGUUAAGCUUGUUGUAGAUUAAUGUUAUGGUUUGUAUAUAUAGCCUUUUUUUUUUGAACAACUGUUUAUAUAUAUAGCCUAAUUACUCGUUUCCUAGUUUACUUCGGUAUUAAAAAGGCGGUCGUAUAUACGGUAUCAGCAUAGGAUUUUAUCUUCUUUUGUUGGAUUAUUUACAUGCACUCUCAAGACUUAUCUAAUUUUAGACAGAUACUACAUGUGAUUCCACAAGAUAACAGAGCUAAUACUGUCUUAGCUUCAAUAAAUCACUCGUACCUAUGGGAUAACUGCCACAAAUUCUCUUUAAAAACAAAUAUGAGAGUCAAAAAGAGUUCUCCGAUUGGCUUCUUCAGGUUGGGGAAGGUCAUCCACAAUUAGAAUCGCGAUAUGAGUGUGAAGACUACCAUAAACAAAUGAUAACUGUCCAUAAAUCAUUGAUUCAUCAGAGUUAUGUUAACCCAUUAAAAAAAGUUGUUGAUGCCGUAUAUGGAGAAGUCAACAAACUGACAAAUUCCCAGACCUCCUACAUUGAUAAAGUUAUACUCACACACCGUAAUGAAACUGUCGAUGAAAUCAAUGCUUAUACCAUCUCACACACCGACGGGGUGUCAAGAGAUUACUUCAGCUCAUACAGCUUUGAGAUAUCGUACACUAAAUCAGAUCAAAAUGAUACAUUAUACCCGUUGAGUAUCUCAAUUCAUUGGAAUUCUCGGGGUUGCCUUCGCACAAAAUAACUCUGAAAGUUGGUGCUCCAGUUAUGCUUCUAUGAAACAUAAAUAAAAAAGGAUUAUGCAAUGGUACCCGUAUGAUCCUAACCCACAUUGGCGACUGCGUGCUCAAAGCCAAAAUUAUCAUUGGCUCACACAUUGGAGAGGAAGUAUUGAUCCCAAGGAUUGUUCUUUUGUAUGAUAAAACAAAGCUACCGUUCACGUUACGUCGGCGGUAAUUCCCUAUCAGAUUGUGUUAUGCAAUGACAAUCAACAAAAGCCAAUGCCAAAAUUUAAAAGAGGUCAUCUUAUAUCUGCCUAAACCGGUCUUCGCUCAUGGUCAACUUAAUUGGCCCUAUCACGUGUCACAAGUAGAGCAGGAUUAACGAACAUCAAAAGCGAAGAUUCCCACCAGCUGAAAGUGAAAAACAUAGUCUACAAAGAAAUAUUCAAAGGCCUUCCUCCCCACAAAGGUAUUUUUAAAUUAAAAUUAGUAGUUUUCACUUCCACCAUUUUUCAAAGUCUUCUGAUAAAAUAUUAUAUUCACAGAUUUACAAUGCCCAACAUAUCGACCAGACGAUGGUAUAAUCAAAUAAAGAAGGACUUACACAGGGUUUUUACCCAGCUAUGCUAUGUAUGAAUCUUUUUAUAUAAAUAACCAUAGCUUGGUAUUUACUUAAAUUUAAGUUAGUUAACUUAUUCUUAACCAAUUUCAGGCUAUUUCUUUUUUAUGGUCCACAAUGCAGCUUCUGAUCUUCAAAAGACUUGGUCUCUUUCUUACAUUAUUUAUGAUUACUUAGCUACUCUUUUUGUUUUUAAACAAUUGCAUAAACUCGAUAUUCACCAAUUUUCCAAACAUUUUGGAAAAUACAAUGCUUCCAUUCCAAAACAAAAACAUUGAAACUUAUAAUCAAAAAUCGACUAUCAACACAUUCCGCGCAUCGCAGGGUGAGGAUAUGGUAUCAAUAAUAAAUUGUAAAAUUUUGAAUAUAUUGUGUAUAAAUUGGAUUGCUUAUUAGUUACUAAUAUUCAAAUAUUUUUAGAGUUGUGUAACGUAAAACCAUAUGAAUACAUCUUGUAAUAUUGAAAAAUUGAACCAAUAUGUAAUGUACAAUCUCACACGUACUAGUUUUUAAAUAUUCACAAUAUGUUGGAUUAUUCAAUUUACAUGGCCUUACUGAGACGGAAAGAAUAUUUGGACAUGAUUUAUUUGACAUGGACCAGAUUUGUUGUUUAAUCUUUAUAGGCCUAAUAAUUGUUGAUGGGUUUAUCGCCGACGACAUGUUAUUGUCCUAAACAAUUGAGAACGAAAAAAAUAUCCAAUUUCUUAUUUCUAAUCUAUCAGCAAGCAAAACAAAAUAAAACUACUCAUCUUGUAUAUGUGAUUAAGAAAAAUGGAUUAGGGUUUACAACGUAAAAAUUCAGCAUGUUUGACGUUUCCAAAAUCUUCUAACCAAAUCUUACCCAGACGAUUCUUCUAUUAACAAUUUUUGUUUCCUUGCUGUUGCUUCUUCAUCGACAUCAACCAUCAUCUCCUCCGACAGUCUAUCAAGUGAAUUAGGUUCUCCCACAAUUUUUGGGUUCUAACCUUGGCUUAUAUAGGUUGAAGAACAUACUCCGAGAAUAUAUGCCUAAGAUUUGACACUUAUUGGCAUAUAUUUAGCUUGUCAAUCAUUCAAACAAUUAAUAUUUUCAUAAAGCAUUACAAAUUAAUCCUAGUCAUACAUCCGUUCUUGACUUCAAAGCAUUGUAAAGGUACGAAAUAUUUAGGAAUCACCCUAAUAUCAUUGCCAUAUAUAAAGAUUAUCGUUCAGUUGAAGUAUUUGAUAUAGUUAAUAUAUAUGUUUUUCUAAAAUAAAAGAUGACGGCUUACGCUGUAUUAACGGGAUGAAUACAUAGUAUUAGGCUAUAUUAAUUCUUACCUUUCUUGCAUACAUCUGUAUUAAAUAGUAAACCAAUUUCUAUUCGGUAUGUUUAACGGUUAACCACAUUGUUCACAUUAUAAUUCGGUUUGUGAUAACCGUUUGUCAAAUUUAUGAAUGUGACAUAUUGUGUUGUUUUACUGCAUUUUUGUCUAAAUUUUAUCAAUAUAAUGUUCCACUGAGUUUAUGUGUUUACAUAAAAUGGUUUAAUGGUCUUCUAUGAUCUCAGUAGGUUCUGAUAUUGUUGCAUAUAGUAUGUAAACAAAUGUUUACAAUAGUUUCUUAUAUACCCAUAUUUAAGUCUAUCUACGGUUUAGAUAGGUGCUCUUUUUACAAUCUCAUAUAGAUAUGUUGCUUUAACUGCAUGUGAAGGAGGACGAGUAAGUAUGACAAAUAUGAAGUUUACGUGUUUGUAACGUGCGCAAUGUUGGGCUUAUUAGAAAAUCUUGUAAAAUUUAAAUGUUUAAUAUUUAAUUUUAAUGUACAUGGGGAAACGACAAUAGUAGGUUGAAUGGUAGUGGUAUAUUUUGUAAAUAUUGUGGUAAAGAAAGGGAAGUUAGUUAUUUAGGUUGAGAAUCACAGCGAGAUUAACACCUAAGCAUGGUAUGUAUGUAAUAAAAUUACAUACUAAAUGUUACUUUUCCAAAAUGUAAAGAGAUUUUUUUUAUCAAGACCAAAAUCCAACUAAUUUAAUUUCUGUUGAACAAUAUAUACACACAUUCAUAUCUAAAAUAUGUUUCCAACAAUAAAAAAAGUUAUAAAGCUAUAAAUAGGAAUUGUUCAUAGUAAUCAGAGGCAUCAAAAAGAGACAAACAUAAUACACAAGACUAAAAAAUAAAAGAUGGAGAAGAAGUGCAUGUGCAUGUUGAUGAUUAUGUUCGUUGCAUUGACGGUGAUGCCAUUACCAGCAAUGAGUGAAUCGUAUGAAGCUUGUCAUGAAAGGUGCAUUCACUCGUGCCAAAUAUUUUUUGAGGGAGUUGAAAAAUGCAUUCACGAUUGUGUUGGUAUCAAAUGUCAUAAAACACAUGUACUCCCUCGGAUAGCGGCUAAAGAGAUGUUUCAAGAAAUUCAUACAUAGAGAGAUAUGUUAUUAAACACACAUGAUGUUUAAGUUUACUACUCUUUGAAUUAUAUAAUUUUUAAUAAUAAAAUUCCAUCAUUCUUAGAA